rnacentral:misc_RNA from 1 species
GAUGAAGAACGCAGCGAAAUGCGAUAAGUAGUGUGAAUUGCAGACUUUAGUGAAUCAUCGAAUCUUUGAACGCACAUUGCGCCCGCCAGUAUUCUGGCGAGCAUGCCUGUUCGAGCGUCAUUUCAACCAUCAAGCCCCAGGCUUGUGUUGGAGCCCUGCGGCUGCCGCAGCCUCCCAAAACCAGUGGCGGGCUCGCUAUCACACCGAGUGCAGUAGUUUACUCUUCGCUCAGGGCGUGUGGCGGGUGCUAGCCGUGAAACCCCCAACUUCUCAAGGUUGACCUCGGAUCAGGUAGGAAUACCCGCUGAACUUAAGCAUAUCAAUAAGCGGAGGA